UACGUAGGGGGCUAGCGUUGUCCGGAAUCAUUGGGCGUAAAGCGCGUGUAGGCGGCCUUGUAAGUCCGUUCUGAAAGCCCGGGGCUCAACCCCGGGAGGCGGAUGGAUACUGCAAGGCUCGAGUCCGGAAGAGGCGAGUGGAAUUCCCGGUGUAGCGGUGAAAUGCGCAGAUAUCGGGAGGAACACCAAUGGCGAAGGCAGCUCGCUGGGACGGUACUGACGCUGAGACGCGAAAGCGUGGGGAGCAAACAGGAUUAGAUACCCCCGUAGUCC
rnacentral:rRNA from 1 species